UUGGAGGGCAAGUCUGGUGCCAGCAGCCGCGGUAAUUCCAGCUCCAAUAGCGUAUAUUAAAGUUGUUGCAGUUAAAAAGCUCGUAGUUGAAUUUCGGGGUCAGUAGGUCGGUCGUGCCACUGGUAUGAACUGGUUUUACUGGUUCCUCCCUCUUGAAGAACUGUAAUGCCAUUAAUUUGGUGUUGCAGGGAAUCAGGACUGUUACUUUGAAAAAAUUAGAGUGUUUAAAGCAGGCUUUAGCUUGAAUACAUUAGCAUGGAAUAAUGAAAUAGGACGUUUGAUCCUAUUUUGUUGGUUUCUAGGAUUGACGUAAUGAUUAAUAGGGAUAGUUGGGGGCAUUAGUAUUCAAUUGUCAGAGGUGAAAUUCUUGGAUUUAUUGAAGACUAACUACUGCGAAAGCAUUUGCCAAGGAUGUUUUCAUUAAUCAAGAACGAAAGUUAGGGGAUCGAAGACGAUCAGAUACCGUCGUAGUCUUAACCAUAAACUAUGCCGACUAGGGAUCGGAUGAUGUUAAUUUUUUAAUGACUCGUUCGGCGCCUUACGGGAAAC
rnacentral:rRNA from 1 species